UCUACUUUUAUGCAUCGCAUCUUCCAAUUCGACCAUCACUUUACUUUUUAGAAAUCAGAAAAUUAUCCAUGAAGAAGAAGAAGAAGGUGGAAAGAUUCACAUUCACAAGGGAAUGAAGAUCUCCGUAGAACAUAGCCGUUCACCUCCUGCAAAAGGCUUUUAUUCGCAUGCAUACGGUUCGUUAUUCGAUAGAUGUAAUAAUGUACUUAGAAGAUUCAAUUGUGAGUGAUUUUCUUAUAUAUACUGAUUUCCUUCGGAAGAUACACAUUUCUGAAACCUAUUUUGAAAGUAUGCUGACAACAUUAGAGAUGGAAAUAAAACUAUAUGCCA